rnacentral:sRNA from 1 species
CACACAUGAUGUAGUACUCAGUACCUGGGAAUAAUAGGUUAUUUUACUAGCUGCAUAGUUUGGAGAUACCUAUGGAUACUCUGCACAUGCUAGAUGGACCUUGGGAAGUUAUGCCAGAUGAUAAAACACAGAAACCAAAGGCCACACACUGGUUAUAAUGAUACUUUCUUUUUUUCUUAGUAAAUGUCUGUUACAGCCACACCUAUAGAAGCAGAUUAGCGGUUCCUAGGGACUAUGGAGACAGGAAUGAGGAGUAAUUAUUAAUGGGUCAAAAGGAAAUGCUUUUGAGGAAAUGAAAAUUUCUAGAAGGAAGGUAGAGCUGGUGGCUGCACAUUGUGAAAGCAAAAACAUGAAAAUGAUUAAAAUACUAAGCUGGGUAUUACAUAUAUUCACCAUAAUUUAAACCACUCAUGUACACAGACUUUCCAAACACCUUUCUCCAGCUCACUCUUCCUCAAGAUUGCUCAUCUCUCUUGAUACGCGCCAAGGGUCAUUUUCCCAUAGUCACAUAUCCUAAAGAUGAACCCAUUAAAACCACACGCUUUCCCAUCCCAAGCCUCCCACAUGGCACCAGAUUUCUCACCACCCUCCAGAGUAGACCGUGUGUGACAAUGCUUCCAUUUUGCUGAGGGCUACAUUUUGCUAGUGCUGACGUAGUUUUCUUAGGUCACUAGACAGAGGAUGAACUCAAUUCCCUGUUCCUUGGUUCAAUGAUCCCAUUUCACCUUAGGCUGGUUUCUUGACAGCACAUUUUCUAGUGCACAAAGGACUUCACUUUUAUGUUAUUUGUAUGGGAAGGCUAUUGGAUUGACGUUUAUUCCAGGCUGGACUCUCAGGAUGAAGUAGAUUAUGGCCUCACAGGGGCAGUAGUAGGACUGUUGUUGGCUUGCUUUAAAUGGAAAUUACUGCCUUCACUAGGGGCCAUUAGCACAUCAAAAUGGUGUUUGUUGAGCCAGGAAAAGUGAUACAUUAUGUUUGCAUUUAUUCUUUGGUCCCCAAAGACUAAUUGUUGGUUUGUGUUUUUAAACACCCUUUCAAGUGCUAAGAGCCUCUAAUGAGUUAAAUUAACACACCAUUAGGGUUAAGAAUAGUGGUGUUGACGUGGACACAGUAGACCAAUUACUGGUGCUGGACUAUAGGAUGAAGCCCUGUAUGCACAGAACCCAGCUGCCCUGCCAUUUCUGAAAGACUAGGACACUUGAUAGAGCAUUCUCCACCCCCCGACACUUGUUUUGCUUAUCCUUGCAACUGUCUUUUGCCAUGAGGACCAGCCAUUAUGCAAACAAGGACACCAUGGCUUGGAGAGGCAUUGUGCCCAAUCAGACCAGCAAGAGGGUUGGGUGGGGACCCCAGAGAAUACCUGCUUUUGUUCAUAACACUUCUUGGACUUCUGGUGUUUGCACAGGGUCCAGCUUGAUACAGAGUGAAAGGUGAGCUUCCAUGAUGCCACUUAAAGAUCUGAUUUAGCUCUAGUGGAUAAUCUCUUCCUGCAAUCCAGCCAGCAUAGCUGGGGGUGGGGUGGGGUAUACCUACAAUAUGAUGAGGUGCUUGGCUCUAAGGGGGAGAGGAACUUGCUCCAUUCUGCAGAGAUAGUACAGUGGACAUGUUAGAAACUUCCAGAAACGUAGAUGCUCUAAGUGAAUCUGUUCCACUGUCUAGGAUGAGGUCAUCUCUGUCAAUCACUAUCAUGAUUUUAGAUGAUUUUUGGGUUGCAGGGAUGUUAUUAUCUUCCGUCCUCUCGGCUGAGCGAUAGAACCCAGAGGAUGAUUUUUAUAUAGCGAAACACAGUGAAAUUGAGGCUGCUAGGAACACUCUCUUGGCACAGUUUGUGAUAUGUCAGGUAGACUCCUCCUUUGGGCUGUUCUGGCUUCAUUGUUUAUCCUUAUAAUCCUGCUUGGAUGGGCUCCUAGAUUCUUCACAUAUCUCUAGGAAAAAGCCAAGUUAACUUGUGUUGGGCAGUGGGAAAAGGUUCAUAUCAAGACAUGGACAAUACUGGGGACAGGGUCAGAAUUACCCAAAACCAAGGACCUCCUCUUUGUCAUAGGAGGGAGCUAUUUCUGGUGCUUUUAACAGAGACAAGUUGUCACUGUCUGAAGACUGAUAACCAAGGUCUGUCUCCCUAGAUCUAUGCUUGAUGCCAUCCCUUUGCCGUUCUGAGCAGUAUGGCACUUAGGGGGCUGCUCUGUGCUAGGGGAAUUUGGUUUCUUUUUAAUACGUAAUAAUCACCAUUACAUCUCAAUUACUUAACAAAUAGAGAAGCACGGGGCCAUGUUAUUUCCAAAGAGCCUCCUGAGAGUAUGGCUGGAGAUCUCCAAAUGUUAUCCAAAAUUAGCCUGGAGAGGGCGGGCGAUCAGAUCUUUUAAUAUGUGCCCAAGGGAACACACGCGCAUUAUGUACUACUAGUGUGGGCGUGCUGUGCCUAUUCAUGGCUCGCACGCAGUCCUGGAAAACACCAUGCUCCUCCUCUUCCUGCUAGGAGAUACCUAGGCCCAUUAGAAGAGGCUGCAACAAGACCCUUUCUACUUCCAAGGGUGACAAUUGGAUGAGCUUUUUCUUCUCUUAAGCUGAGAAGCCCCAGAUUCUGGCUGGAAAGGAAAUAAUAGGUCACAGACAUAAUAAAAGGUACAUAAGUAAAUAUGAAAUAGUGGCAAAAAGACGUGAAAUUGUUUGAUGGGUCAGCAAGCAAACAAACAAACAAACAAAACCUCACAACUGGAUAGUGAGACAUUCCUCCUCCCAUUUGACCACAACGGUUGCCUUUUAACUCUGGUUUGUCAGUCAGUGCUGUUAAUAUUUUAUGAAAAGGGUGCUUAGGGCAAGGCAGCCAUAGACCAUUUUCUUGGGAAAUGUACAGUUUCUCAAGGCGUUUGUUUUUCAAGCCUUGGCAGUUGGCACUUUUCUUUUGAGAAAGCAGGAGUUGUUGGGGGCAGACCCUUAGUCUUAUUUCCAAGACUUGGGGUUUGGCUUAGUGUAGAAUUGUGAUCAUGAAAGCAGCUUUGGUUUACUGGUGGCAUAGCACUCAAAUAAAUUUGGGUUUAGCUAAAAGCCCUCAACAUAUAAUGAGGAUUACAAGUUAGGGAUCGGCCUGCCCCUGAAGCGUUCGAUUUCAUUUCGAUGGGCAUCUGGUAGGGCUCACUGCUUGCUGGGGGCAGAAGGCAGGCUUUUCAUCUACUGGAGCCUGCAGCCCUCAGAUGCAGGAAGCCUCCUUCACACCAGCUCUUCCUGCACAGUUUCUACUGACCUUUCAAGUCUUGCAGACCUGCCAAUGUGAAACUUCUCUGACCUUAAUUGCUGGACGCCUUUCCAUCCCCCUCCUCUCAAAAUGGAAAAUGGAAGUUACCCAGCCAGUGAGUUAAACUUUUCCCUUUAAAGGGGGUGCCAAAUCAUUUAUCCAUUUAUGUUUUCAACUCACCCCACAGUAACAAAAAAAAAAUCAGUGAUUUUGGUCAAGGCCUUGGAAGCUCCAAUGUUUCACAGUGCAUGAAGCCAUGCUACAGAAUGUUACUGCUGUCAUUUGGAUGUCUUUCUAUUAAGAUCCAGAGGUGACUGCUCUGGAUUGGGGUACUGAGCACUUUUUGAGGGAGACGUAUCUUUUUCCUAUUGGUGUUGUUUAUGGUAACAUUCAGCUUAGUACGAUGAAUAGGGCUGUGCUUCCAGUUGUUGCUGAUCAGACAUGGAUGAGUAAUGAUUAGCACAUAUAUGUUUAUGUUAUUUCAGCAGAAAAUCCGUGCACUGUCGGUGAUGAAUUGAAGGUUAAACGACAAAUCUUCCUCGAAACUAUUCCUGUUGUCUAGUCUAUGAACUGAAAACUGGAUUAACCUUUAAUUACCCUCAACGAUCUCUCAACCCCGAGACAACAUUGCCACUGCCACCAGUAGUAUUUGCAUAUACAAUUUAACGAGAGAAACAUCUGUUUGCAUAUUUGGAAUCAUUACUAGCAUGCAGAUUAAUGGAUACUUGCAGUGAGGUGUCACUUUCGUACACAGGUUCUCCAUUCUUCCCCAUAACCAGGAAGAUGUGAGUCUGAGGUAUCUUCUUGGUAGGAAGGUUACAAUAUUACAAAUCUCCUAUGGAUGGACUUGGCCAUCUGUGAGCACACUUUAGUGGACUGAUGCUCUGGAUAACACAUGGAUACCUAGAGGAGGAGGAAGACCUAGAGAGCAGAGUCACAGAAAGAAGAAACAGGUGAUGACUUCUCAGGGUGGUAGGCAAAUGGAAUUUAGCUCGAUAGAUAUACUACCCUUCUCUCUGUGGUCUGGGAGUCACAUCUUCUUCUCCAAGUUGCUAAAGAAGAUAGAUUUUGAGGACACCAGAGUGCAUGGUUAAUCCAGAAGACACCAUUUCAUCCUCUUGCUUGGAGAGAUCACUCGCUGGUUAAGAGCAUGCUCCUGUCACAGAGGACCCCAUUCCCAGCACUCACAGGGACCGAUUCACAAUUUCCU